rnacentral:lncRNA from 1 species
UAAUAUUUAUUUUUGUGAUUUUCCAAUUUGCAAUGCUUUUUUCUAUAUCUUCAAAACAAAUAGAUGAUGCAUUUAUAUAUAUAUGUGUGUGUGUGUGUGUGUGUGUGUGUGUGUCAAUGAUUUAGUCUAUUGACUACAUGAAGAGAGCAAGCAACCACAACAAUUCACAUAGACAUAACAUACUCCUCAGAAAAAAAAUCAAAAACAAAAAACAGAGAAAAAUAUCAGACACAUUCUAAAAUUCAAAAAAAAUGAAACAAAAAUCUUCAGAAAGACAUACAAAACUAUGACAAAAAUUUUCAGAAACAAGAAAUUCCAAAUAUUUUCUAUGGAAGCCAUAUAUACAAGAAGAAAUGUGGUAGAUACUUCACAAAUGCAAAACAAACUAUUUCAAAAAAUGAGAAGGGGUCUUAUACCUAGCUUACAUGUGUGCACACACGGUGCAGCUUCCGAUGGAGAAGGUGUGCACAAAGAAAUCCUGAACAAACAAAUGCAAAAAAAAUAGCCUUGAAUUUGACAAUAGCAACAUCCUAAUAAAUCUUCGGUCAUUUAAAACCUAAAGCUCUGAAGUGAACUAAGACUUUGGGAAAGAAUCAGAACUGCUACAUCAAAAGAAUGAUUUGCUCUAUUCCAAAACACAAAACACAUUUCCACACUCUUCACAAAUGAGAUAGAUACUUGACCAUAUGUUCAAAUAAAAUAAACACAGAUCUAACAAGUGACAACAAACAAUUUCACACUUGACAAUCAAAAUAGGUACAUCAUUAUUGCUGGAAUAAUACAUUUAGAGAGCAAGGAACUUACAAAUUCAUCAUUAGAAUCAGCAUGGCCUUUCAGCAUGGCCUUUCAUAACCAAUAUCUGCAUGGCAUCUCUUAGUUGCAUUAGAGGCAAAUUAGCAAUAAAGGUAUAAAACCAAACAUUUUAUAGACAGAAGGUAAUUGAUGUGUAAACCAAACAAUUUAUAGAUAGCAUAAUAUAGAACCUCAGUUUGACAGCAAAUAGAAAUAAAUUCAUGUUUCAUUUUCUAAAGCUAUCUCUUGUUACAAAUUGAAAUGACCUAGCUAAACUCCACACCAUUUCCAAUUUUCCUGGCAUUGUCAUCUCUAAGAAUAGAAUGCCUAGUAACGUCAUUUUUAGAAAUACAACAAUUAGACACUACAAACACACCAUAACCAAAGUCUUAUCAGAACUACCAUGAACAAGUAUACACAAUAUGAUCUACAACUUCGACAGCUUGAACUGGUAUAACUCAACACAUAUAGGGAAAGUACUAUAGAAAAAACAAUAGACCCAGCAUAAGCAAAGCUCACCAUUCCUUUCCUAUAACUCUACAACCUCCCAUCUAUCUACCCCCAAAUUUCUACACGGCCAAAGGAGAAAGGACACUAAAUCAACCAACAGACCUAUGAACCAGAUAUCAUUAAAGCAUAGCCAAAUCUGCAGAACACGGCGACAAAGACGACGCAUCCACGCUGAAUCAAAACACCUACGUCAAACCCCAGUUUGAGCAGCACGCAUCCACAGAACAUGAUGACACAUAGGCAGCAUCUAUGCUAGAACAAAAUCAUUGGGACAACAGAACACGGCUACGCAGAUCCCGCAUCCUGAAUGGACAAAACCUCGACAACCUACCCAAAAAACCAAAACACAUCCAAAAAAACAAGGACACAGAGGCUGCAUCGGCACUAGAGCAAAUCCACAGCGACAAACACCAAAUCAACAAGAGCAGCAUCCCCAGAGCAUGCCGGCGUAAUCCCAUCCUCGAUGGAUCAAAAACCCGGCGACAAACCCGAGAUGAACAAGACAUCAAACCACCCCUAGAAAUCAGAGAUUCAGAAGAAAUGAAGACAAACCACCACACCCAAAUCACUGACUAACGCGAGAACAAACCCUAGCAACGGUUGAAACUAUCACAACAAGGAGCAGAAACAACUUAGCUCGCCAAACCCUAGAAAUGUCGGCCGCCACAACGGGAAACGUCGAGUCGCCCGGAGAAGAGACGAAAUGAGAAAUGAGGAAAGGGGGAAAUGGGCGCUCCAACUUUGGAUGCGCAGACCCCACAUGACAGAGUCACGGAGACC